rnacentral:rRNA from 1 species
GGUUUGAUCAUGGCUCCAGAUUGAACGCUGGCGGAUACUUUUACAUGCCAAGUCGAACGGCAGCACGGACUUCAGUCUGGUGGCGAGUGGCGAACAGGUGAGUAAUGUAUCGGAACGUGCCUAGUAGCGGGGGAUAACUACUGCAAGCGUAUGCCUGCCGCCACGCCCUUCGGGGAAAGCGGGGGACCUUCGGGCCUCGCACUAAUCCGACGGCCGAUAUCGGAUUAGCUAGUUGGUGAAAUAACAGCUCACCGAGCUGCGACGAUCCGUAGCUGGUUUGAGGAUGACAGCCACACUGGGACUGAGACACGGCCCAGACUCCUGCAGGAGGCAACAGUGAAAUUUUGGACAAAUGAAACCACGAUCAGCCUGCAUCCGCGUGUGCGAUGAAGGCCUUCAGUUGUAAAGCACUUUUGGCAGGAAGAAGCGGCACGGGAUAAUACCCCGUGCAACUGACAGCCUGCAGAAUAAGCACCCAUUAACUACGUGCCAGCAGCCGCGGUAAUACGGCCAAGGUGCAAGCGUUAAUCGGAAUUACUGGGCGUAAAGCGUGCGCAGGCUCGGUUCGGAAAAGAUCUUGAAAUCCCAGGCUUAACUUUGGAACUGCAUUUUUAACUACCGAGCUAGAGUGUGUCAGGGAGGGUGGAAUUCACGCGUCGUAGCAGUGAAAUGCGUAGAUAUGCGGAGGAACACCGAUAGCGAAGGCAGCCUCCUGGGAUAACACUGACGGCGCCAUGCACGAAAGCAUUAGAGGAGCAAACAGGAUUAGAUACCUGGUAGUCCUUAUAAACGAUGUCAACAGCUGUUGGGGCCUUCGGGCCUUAGUAGCGCAGCUAACGCGUGAAGUUGACCGCCUGGGGAGUACGGUCUGCAGGUCAAAACUCGGAAUUGACGGGGACCACCAAGCGGUGGAUGAUGUGGAUUAAUUCGAUCACAACGCGGGAAAACCUUACCUACCAUCCCGACACAGCUAAAUGUGAUCCCGAAGAGAUUUGGGAGUGCUCGCAGAGAACCGAAUUUUAAGGUGCCUGUAAGCUAUCGUCAGCUCGUGUCGUGAGAUGUUGGGUUAAGUCCCGCAACAGGCGCAGCCACUGUCGUCUGGAUUUUCGAAAGACACUCUGGCCGAGACUGCCGGUGACAAACCGGAGGAAGGUGGAUGGCGUCAAGUCUCAUGGCCCUUAUGGGUAGGGCUUCACACGUCAUUACAAUGGUCGGGACAGAGGGUCGCCAACCGCGAGGAGGAAUGGCAUCGGAAGCGAUCGUAGUCGGAUCGCAGUCUGCAACUCGACUGCGUGAAGUCGGGAAUCCGCCCAAUCGCGGAUCGGCAUGUCAGUGAAUAGUUCCCGGUCUUCAUACACCGCCCGUCACCAUGGGAGUGGGUUUGCCAGAAGUAGUUAGCUAACCGUAGGAGGCGAUUCUACAGUAGGAUUCAUGACUGGGGUGAAGUCGUAACAAGGUAA